GGAGCAGAGGCAAGGAGAGUGGAAAAUUACUGACAGAGGGGAGGAGGUGAGCAGACUGUGACAAUGUGGGAGUAUCAUGCAUUGUACAGGAUGGGUGGACACCCUGCAGCAUCCAGAGAGGAUGGAAGCACCACUGGUGUCAGUUUGCAGGAUACUGAGCUGGGCCUGACAUGUUGACCAACCGCAGACCAAGAGUGUGCUGUCAGAUUUGGAUCAUCUAAGCUGUACUGGUUCAGGUCCAGCUUUGGUCCAGGCCCUGCCAAACCCCCAGAUUCUAAAUCAGUCCGCUCAGGGUCAGAGCACGUAAUCUGCAGCCAGAGGCCAUGACCAAACAAACGUGGUUACAUACUCCAGUGAGCAGGAUGAGGUGCUGAAGCAGCACUCUUCAUGUCUCCUAAAGUAAACCUCCAUCCAUGAGCUCACUCACCGUCGUGGUCAGCCUAAUUAAACCGUGCAGCUGUGGAUUAUUUAGAGACCAGAAAUAGCCUCUCAUCUGCAGCCACUUCUCAUUAAUGACUGUAAUGAUAUAUGAAAGGCGGGUGGGGCUGUUGGCAUCAUUUUCUUCUUUGUGGUUUUGUUUAAUACAUUCUGAUUAGCUUGCUGGAUUAAGAUUUAAUCUUUCUGGUGCCACAAGAAUCACAAGAAAGACUCUUAGAUAUUCUACCUUGUUUCCAAAACAGGUAUAAAGUGACACCAUAUGAAGAUCUGCAAAACAUUGAGUCCCCUCAAUAGAAUAAAGACCCCAAAUAUGAGAUGUUGAAAGACUGGAAAGUUGUGGAAUAGCAAAAGAAAACACGCUUGAAGCAUCUCACAGUAAAUUAUGUUAACAGGUUAUUAACAUGACUAUAAAGAGACCAUCCAACA